rnacentral:tRNA from 1 species
GGAGUUGUGGCUCAGUGGUUAGAGCACUUGCCUGGCAUGUGUGAGGCACUGGGUUCAAUUCUCAGCACCA